rnacentral:ncRNA from 1 species
AGUAUGAAAAGGCAAAUCCAUUGAAAAAUGGGGGCGCAAAGCCAUGGGUCUAAGCCAAGUUCGGUAUGAUUGCCAGGCUGCCAAA